rfam:Schistosoma curassoni strain Dakar, Senegal genome assembly, scaffold: SCTD_scaffold0004143
AUCCAGCUGAUUAGUCUCAAAGAGGACGAAACGAGUGUCUUGGAU